UGACCUCGGAUCAGGUAGGAAUACCCGCUGAACUUAAGCAUAUCAAUAAGCGGAGGAAAAGAAACCAACAGGGAUUGCCCUAGUAACGGCGAGUGAAGCGGCAACAGCUCAAAUUUGAAAUCUGGCUACUUUGUAGUCCGAGUUGUAAUUUGUAGAGGAUGCUUUUGGUGAGGUGCUUUCUGAGUUCCCUGGAACGGGACGCCAGAGAGGGUGAGAGCCCCGUACAGUUAGCAACCGAUCCUUUGUAUAGCUCCUUCGACGAGUCGAGUAGUUUGGGAAUGCUGCUCUAAAUGGGAGGUAUAUCUCUUCUAAAGCUAAAUAUAGGCUAGAGACCGAUAGCGCACAAGUAGAGUGAUCGAAAGAUGAAAAGCACUUUGAAAAGAGAGUUAAACAGCACGUGAAAUUGUUGAAAGGGAAGCGCCUAUGACCAGACUUGUUUCUAUCAGUUUUGGUAGUUUUCGGACUGCUUUACUCUGUUAGUACAGGCCAACAUCAGUUUGUUGUCGGGGAGAAAGGCUUAGGGAAUGU
rnacentral:rRNA from 1 species